UACAGAGGGUGCGAGCGUUGUCCGGAAUCACUGGGCGUAAAGGGCGCGUAGGUGGCGACCCAAGUCGAUGGUGAAAGCUCGCCGCUCAACGGCGAGUCGGCCACUGAUACUGGGUUGCUGGAGCACUGUAGAGGCAGAUGGAAUUCCGGGUGUAGCGGUGGAAUGCGUAGAGAUCCGGAAGAACACCGGUGGCGAAGGCGGUCUGCUGGGCAGUUGCUGACACUGAGGCGCGACAGCGUGGGGAGCAA
rnacentral:rRNA from 1 species